GUCGAACGCUGGCGGCGUGCCUAAUACAUGCAAGUAGGACGAAGUUGCAAACGGGAGAGAAACGCGUAGGUAACUACCUAUUAGAGGGGGAUAACUAUUGGAAACGAUAGCAAAUACCGCAUACUAUGAGCUGGACAGUCGUUGUAUUAGCUAGUAGGUAGGGUAAUGGCCUACUUAGGGAACGAUACGUAGACGGCUUGAGAGGGUGUGCGGCCACACUGGUACUGAGAAACGGCCCAGACUCCUACGGGAGGCAGCAGUGGGGAAUCUUCGGCAAUGGGGGGAACCCUGACCGAGCAACGCCGCGUGAGUGAAGAAGGUUUUCGGGUCGUAAAGCUCUGUUAUUGAGGAAGCGGUACUUACCCAGUAAGGGCCGGCUAACUACGUGCCAGCAGCCGCGGUAAUAC
rnacentral:rRNA from 1 species